GCAGUCGAGCGAUAAUUAGGAGCUUGCUCCUAAUUAUUAGCGGCGGACGGGUGAGUAACACGUGGGCAACCUACCUAUAAGACUGGGAUAACUUCGGGAAACCGGAGCUAAUACCGGAUAAUAUUUAGGACUUCAUGGUCUUAAAUUGAAAGAUGGCUUCGGCUAUCACUUAUAGAUGGGCCCGCGGCGCAUUAGCUAGUUGGUGAGGUAACGGCUCACCAAGGCAACGAUGCGUAGCCGACCUGAGAGGGUGAUCGGCCACACUGGGACUGAGACACGGCCCAGACUCCUACGGGAGGCAGCAGUAGGGAAUCUUCCGCAAUGGACGAAAGUCUGACGGAGCAACGCCGCGUGAGCGAUGAAGGCCUUCGGGUCGUAAAGCUCUGUUGUUAGGGAAGAACAAGUACCGUUCAAAUAGGGCGGUACCUUGACGGUACCUAACCAGAAAGCCACGGCUAACUACGUGCCAGCAGCCGCGGUAAUACGUAGGUGGCAAGCGUUGUCCGGAAUUAUUGGGCGUAAAGCGCUCGCAGGCGGUCCUUUAAGUCUGAUGUGAAAGCCCACGGCUCAACCGUGGAGGGUCAUUGGAAACUGGGGGACUUGAGUGCAGAAGAGGAGAGUGGAAUUCACGUG
rnacentral:rRNA from 1 species